UACGGGGGAGCAAGCGUUGUUCGGAUUACUGGCGUAAAGGGCGCGUAGGCGGCCACCGCAAGUCGGUUGUGAAAUCUCCGGCUUAACCCGGAAAGGUCAAUCGAUACUGCGGGCUAGAGUGCAGAAGGGGCAACUGGAAUUCUCGGUGGUAGCGGUGAAAUGCGUAGAUAUCGAGAGGAACACCUGCGGCGAAGGCGGGUUGCUGGGCUGACACUGACGCUGGAAGCGCGAAAGCUAGGGGAGCGAACGGG
rnacentral:rRNA from 1 species